CGCACGGCAGCACAGAAGAGCUUGCUCUUUGGGUGGCGAGUGGCGGACGGGUGAGUAAUGUCUGGGAAACUGCCCGAUGGAGGGGGAUAACUACUGGAAACGGUAGCUAAUACCGCAUAACGUCGCAAGACCAAAGUGGGGGACCUUCGGGCCUCACACCAUCGGAUGUGCCCAGAUGGGAUUAGCUAGUAGGUGGGGUAAUGGCUCACCUAGGCGACGAUCCCUAGCUGGUCUGAGAGGAUGACCAGCCACACUGGAACUGAGACACGGUCCAGACUCCUACGGGAGGCAGCAGUGGGGAAUAUUGCACAAUGGGCGCAAGCCUGAUGCAGCCAUGCCGCGUGUAUGAAGAAGGCCUUCGGGUUGUAAAGUACUUUCAGCGGGGAGGAAGGCGGUGAGGUUAAUAACCUUGCCGAUUGACGUUACCCGCAGAAGAAGCACCGGCUAACUCCGUGCCAGCAGCCGCGGUAAUACGGAGGGUGCAAGCGUUAAUCGGAAUUACUGGGCGUAAAGCGCACGCAGGCGGUCUGUUAAGUCAGAUGUGAAAUCCCCGGGCUUAACCUGGGAACUGCAUUUGAAACUGGCAGGCUUGAGUCUCGUAGAGGGGGGUAGAAUUCCAGGUGUAGCGGUGAAAUGCGUAGAGAUCUGGAGGAAUACCGGUGGCGAAGGCGGCCCCCUGGACGAAGACUGACGCUCAGGUGCGAAAGCGUGGGGGAGCAAACAGGAUUAGAUACCCUGGUAGUCCACGCCGUAAACGAUGUCGACUUGGAGGUUGUGCCCUUGAGGCGUGGCUUCCGGAGCUAACGCGUUAAGUCGACCGCCUGGGGAGUACGGCCGCAAGG
rnacentral:rRNA from 1 species